AACGAACGCUGGCGGCAUGCCUAACACAUGCAAGUCGAACGAGACCUUCGGGUCUAGUGGCGCACGGGUGCGUACGCGUGGGAACCUGCCCUUAGGUUCGGAAUAACUCCCCGAAAGGGGUGCUAAUACCGGAUAAUGUCUUCGGACCAAAGAUUUAUCGCCUUUGGAUGGGCCCGCGUUGGAUUAGCUAGUUGGUAGGGUAAAAGCCUACCAAGGCGACGAUCCAUAGCUGGUCUGAGAGGAUGAUCAGCCACACUGGGACUGAGACACGGCCCAGACUCCUACGGGAGGCAGCAGUGGGGAAUAUUGGACAAUGGGCGAAAGCCUGAUCCAGCAAUGCCGCGUGAGUGAUGAAGGCCUUAGGGUUGUAAAGCUCUUUUACCCGGGAUGAUAAUGACGGUACCGGGAGAAUAAGCUCCGGCUAACUCCGUG
rnacentral:rRNA from 1 species